rnacentral:tRNA from 1 species
GCGCCCGUAGCUCAGAUGGAUAGAGCGCCGGACUUCGAAUCCGUAGGUCGCAGGUUCGAAUCCUGCCGGGCGUACCA